UUGUGUUUGUUUUUCGGAUUAAAACUAUCACAGUGUGUCAACGUUGUUCUGUACUAUUGGGUGUAGUUUUUAAAGUCAUACAAUAUGGCGGCGAUUAUGCGGCAAUGAAAUUGAAUGUUACUUCGAACCCGUUCCUCUACAAAAAAAACGACCUGCAUUAAGUGUUACUGCUUUAACAUUCGUCGAAGCAAAAAUGACAUCAAUGUAUGAGCCAAAAAUGUUAAAUUUAGAUCGAGACAAUCCAGAAAUGAGCUGCCAGGAAGUGAUCGAUUUUUGGACACCGAAGAUUGAAAAGUGCAUAGCUACAAGGCUAGUAUUGUUAACAUCAACUGGAACAAAGCUUAAAUGGCUCCCUGACCUGACUUAAAAAUAGGAUGGCAAUACAUCAAACAAGAAGACUUUAAGUAUUGAGAUGGACCAAGUGAAACCUGAGCCUACCAAAGCUGACAGAUUGCGCUAGAAACACAUUGGAAGAUUCAUUUUCUGGAAAGUAGAAAAGGACUGUUACAUACUGUUAUCACAGCCAUGACAGAAACCAUAUUGAGGAGCUUGUCUGCCUGUAGGAAGAAAUGCGCUACUGGUUGGAGCAGCACUAUUCCCUGGCCAUACACCAGCACUUUGUUUGUCAUAGAGAGCAUUUCUGAGCAGUUAUGGAGACCACUAACUAUGCAGGUGUCACAGUGAAAUUUGCACCAGUUUGUUUUCUGUGGAGACAAAGAGAUAGUGUCCAGCAAUGAAAACCCAACUCAAGAUCUAACCUUGUUAUGCCAAUUUAAAAUAACUGUGUGGGAAAAUGGGAAGAACCUGCAGUCAGGAAUGCACGUAAAUCAUCAAAAGAACAGUGUGAAAUUAAUCAUGAAUAACUUGACAUUUAUUUUGUUUGACAUAUUUAUUCAUGGUGCAGUGAAAACAUGCUUAUUUUCUCAUGGUUAUUUUAAUUUAGAAUUGAUAGGAGGGAAUAUCACUAUGUAGUUUCGGGUUCAUCAUCAGACCAAAACCCUUGUACAUGCCCAAAUUAGUAUUCAAAAUUAUCAAAAUGGUACUUGUUGUAUGCAAUGUAAGUUAAUUAAAAUAAUAAACAAAAAUAUUAAA